rnacentral:snRNA from 1 species
AGCUUUGCGCAGUGGCAAUAUCGUAGCCAGUGAGGUUUAUCCGAGGGGCGAUUAUUUCUAAUUGAAAACUUUUCCCAAUACCCCACCAUGAUGGCUUGAAAUAUAGUCGGCAUUGGCAAUUUUUGACAGUCUCUAUGGAGA